rnacentral:rRNA from 1 species
UACGAAGGGUGCAAGCGUUACUCGGAAUUACUGGGCGUAAAGCGUGCGUAGGUGGUUCGUUAAGUCUGAUGUGAAAGCCCUGGGCUCAACCUGGGAAUGGCAUUGGAUACUGGCGAUCUAGAGUGCGGUAGAGGGGUGUGGAAUUCCCGGGUGUAGCAGUGAAAUGCGUAGAUAUCGGGAGGAACAUCUGUGGCGAAGGCGACACCCUGGACCAGCACUGACACUGAGGCACGAAAGCGUGGGGAGCAAACAGGA